rnacentral:rRNA from 1 species
GACGAACGCUGGCGGCGUGCCUAACACAUGCAAGUCGAGCGAAGUGAGUACUACGGUACGAACUUAGCGGCGGACGGGUGAGUAACGCGUGGACAAUCUACCCUGUAGACUGGGAUAACACCUCGAACGGGGUGCUAAUACCGGAUAAUGUCGAGAAGCGGCAUCGCUUUUCGAAGAAAGGAGAGAAUCCGAUAUAGGAGGAGUCCGCGUCCCAUUAGCUGGUUGGGGAGGGUAACGGCCCACCAAGGCGACGAUGGGUAGCCGGCCUGAGAGGGUGAACGGCCACACUGGAACUGAGACACGGUCCAGACUCCCACGGGAGGCAGCAGUGGGGAAUAUUGUGCAAUGGGGGAAACCCUGACACAGCAACGCCGCGUGAGCGAAGAAGGCCUUCGGGUUGUAAAGCUCAACAGUAUGGGAAGAUAAUGACGGUACCAUACGAAAGCCCCGGCUAACUACGUGCCAGCCGCCGCCGUAACAC